AUCGCAUUCGAUUUCGAACGCGAUAUCUUCUAGUUUGACAGUGAAUUACAGCUCUGUGUAGUGAAAGCCUCUCAGUCUGAAAGCAGGUGAUGCUGAUUUACUACUAAUCACGGACCGGCUUUACUGACCAGAUGCACACGACAAUCGAAUGCGAUUAAUUGCACAGCCCUAGUACAGGUUUAUGUAAAAAUAACACGUUAACUAAUGUAGCUGGAGGCUCUGGACAUGUCCUGCCACAGUGGAAACAAAGAUUUUUCUAUUUUGCUGAAUCUAGACGAGUCAAGCCACAGUGGAAAGAAGUAUAUCCUUGUGAGAUUAUUACAAUAAACCCUCAUCUUGAAGAUAAAGAUGAGGAUGAAGAAAUGGAAAUGUCCAGGACUCAGUCUAUGGACAACUUGGCUCUGAUGCAGAAGCCUCUCUAGCAGUGAUGUGUUUUGAAGUUCAGUGCAUUUCAGUUCAAUAAUCCACAUCAAUACAUUCAUACUGUGGGUUCAAAUGUAAUAUCAUUCUGGCCAUUCAUAUGUAAAGAUUGUACAAAGCUCUUUCUUUAGCUUACAUUUAUUAAAUGACACAUGCACUUGAAUGUUUUAUUAUUUUGUGAGGAUUUGUUAAUUUGUUAUUUCGGUGGCUGAACAGAUUUUAUUAGCGGGUGUUUGAUUUCAGGUGAAUCAAAGCUUCAUCCGGCAGACCAAGGAUUGAAAAUAAAGCAUCCAUAACCAGUUCCUUAUCAAAGAAAUGACUCUUUCAGAUACAGUCUUGGCACAGUAUAUUUGUAACUGAUUACAUGACCAAAGACAGUGAGUGAGAGAGCACAUCUGUGUCUGUAAACACUUUUAAUCAAACAUUUGUGUAAUUAAGAAUCUCUUACUGUCAUGUUUCAUUAAACUAACCAAACAAUUUGCCCUGCAAAAUUAAUAUAAAGUAUUUCAAAAAACACAUAUUAGACACUUCAUAUUCAAAGGUAUUAUUUUUUAUUGCAUUUAAUAAUUAUACUUAUAAUUACACAUUUGCGAUGGGUUUCUAAAAGCUGUUUUAAUGCAUGUUUUAG
ensembl:lncRNA